rnacentral:rRNA from 1 species
GUCCACGCCGUAAACGAUGGAUGCUAGUUGUCAGGCAGCAUGCUGUUUGGUGACGCAGCUAACGCAUUAAGCAUCCCGCCUGGGGAGUACGGCCGCAAGGUUAAAACUCAAAGAAAUUGACGGGGGCCCGCACAAGCGGUGGAGCAUGUGGUUUAAUUCGAAGCAACGCGCAGAACCUUACCUACCCUUGACAUACCAAUCGCGGAUUACAGAGAUGUUUUCCUUCAGUUAGGCUGGAUUGGAUACAGGUGCUGCAUGGCU